rnacentral:rRNA from 1 species
GAAAGCCUGACGCAGCCACGCCGCGUGAGUGAUGAAGGCCUUCGGGUCGUAAAGCUCUGUCUGAUGGAAAGAAGUGUAUAGUGGUUAAUACCUGCUAUGCUUGACGGUACCAUCGAAGGAAGCACCGGCUAACUCCGUGCCAGCAGCCGCGGUAAUA